GCGAUCUUCCCUGAUCCCCCUCCACCUUCUCCGACUCGCUGCCCCACCCUUCUCCCGCAACCCGGCUAGUCUCCCCGGCGUGCUGGCGCCGCCCCGGACCUCGCCGGCACCCCGCGCGCCUCCUUCGCUGCCACCAUCCAGUGAGUAGCCGCCACAACUACCGCCCCCGAGAGCGCCGGCACGCAUGGAUCCAGCCGGACCCGACCGGAGUGGGCCAGGGGUGCCCUUCGCGGGCGCUGUGUCGCCGCCGUUGACCGCCAUGCCACUGCCGCCCCCAAUUCCCCACCACACAUUGCCACGCGCGGCGGCCUCUGCCUCUUGUGCGUCACCGCGAGCCAGCCCCGCGCGAACCACGGUGUUCUGCUGCUAGCUCUAGAAGCGCCCUCAGGCACUGAUCCCGUUCUUCCACACGACCGCUGCUGGUCACCCGCCCCAAACGCCGUCGAGCCAGCAUCUCCUCCAAAAAAUCUGAUGGCGGAGGGCCCCUGCUCCUCAAUGCCAUGGCCGCCCUAUCCGCUCGGCCCCCUGGCAAUCCUUGCCGCCGCCCUGCCACAGACGUCCACCCUAUGGAGCUCCCUCCUCCACUGGUGUCCGGCCGCCUCCCAGUCCCUUGCCACAUCUACGCAUGGACCUCUACGAGGGGAGAGUUCAUCAUCUCAGGGCACCACAUCAACACUCCAAGAGAUGUGCGGACCGAGCACUGUGACAACGCAGUAAAGGAAAAUAAUGCAUGCUUGUAUGUCUGCGUAUUCAUGCUUGUAUGUCUGCGUAUUCAACGAGAUUUGUUGUAAAAGUUUAUUUUUUUUCCUUGUGCGUCAAUUGAGCUAACUUUUAAGACGUUUAGAGGCUUCGUGAAAUUCUACAAAAAGCUAUACGCUGGCAGGUGUGAAGUUCUACCACGGCUAUAUGCUGGAAGCUGUGAAGUCCUGGCACGGCUCUCCACCAAGUUCUAGUCGAUUCAACGUCUACUCUUUCCGUUUUUCACUCUAGUGAGCAUGAGAUGCUGCUGGUGCAUGUGCUCUUCUACCUCGGAAAGAAGCUACUGCUGCUUCGGAUUUGGGUGAACAUCCGGUAUGGAGAUGUGUGUAUGCUACGAUGAGAAGAUAAGGUAUAUGAUUUUUUUAUAGACAAAGGUGUGUGUAUGCUACGAUGAGAAGAUAAGGUAUUUUUUAUAGAAUCAACGUGUGGUGGAGAGACAUGCACCGCUUUGUCACAAAACCAUCAACCGGCUUAUAUAUUGCUUAAAUUAUUAUCACAUAUGUAAUUAGAAGAGCAAGUACUUAGUUUUUCAUGGUUUGAUGCGUAUAUUUUGUAAUUAUUUUUCAUUUACAAACCACUAA